rnacentral:rRNA from 1 species
UCAUUGGGUGUUAAAACCCAAAGGCGAAAUGAAAGUGAAGGAAAUUCACGUUUCUGAGGGAAGAUGGGUCAGACCCCUCUAAAGGGUCCCCCGGCAUUCCCGGGGCGUCUCUAUCUCAUCACGAGAGGAGGCGCACCUAGAGCGUACACGCUGAUACCCGAAAGAUGGUGAACUAUGCCUGGCCAGGACGAAGCCAGGGGAAACCCUGGUGGAGGUCCGCAGCGAUUCUGACGUGCAAAUCGAUCGUCGGAGCUGGGUUUAGGGGCGAAAGACCAAUCGAANNNNNNNNNNNNNNNNNNCCAUCUAGUAGCUGGUUCCCUCUGAAGUUUCCCUCAGGAUAGCUUGCACUCGGUUGAGACGAGUCUCAUCCGGUAGAGCGAAUGAUUAGAGGCCUUGGGGUCKAAACGACCUCAACCUAUUCUCAAACUCCAAAUAGAUGAGAACCCCGGCUUUCUUGAACGCAUACUUUUUGAAGCCGGGGAUAUCGGAUCAGAGUGCCAAGUGGGCCAAUUUUGGUAAGCAGAACUGGCGCU